GACUCUCUGUGUGUGUGUCUCCCUCCCUCCCUCUCUCCCUCCCUCUCUCUCUCUCUCGCAGCAGCAGCAGCAGCAGCAGCAGCCCCCGCCGCCGCCCCCCCAGCAGCAGCAAGCUCAGCCCCCUCCCCAGCAGCCCCAGCAGCAGCCGCAGGUUGCCCCCGUCCCACAGCCCCAGGCCCAGGGGCAGCCUCCGGGGCUGGGCAUGCAGGCCCUCGCUCCCCAGCAGCCGAUCUUCCAGCGGCAGGGCCUGCAGCAGACGCAGCAGCAGCAGCAGACGGCCGCCCUCGUCCGGCAGCUCCAGCAGCAGCUUUCCAAUACGCAGCCGCAGCAGAGCAGCAACCCCUUCGGGCGAUACUGAGGCCCCGCGAGAGAGCAGGCCUUGCCGUGGACUGGAGAGGGCCGGGGCCCGGGGCCCGGGCAGUUCAGCUCCCACUCCCGGGGGCCCCUGCCCUGCAGCAGCACCCGACAUCUGGGCCAAGAGAGGGUUUUAUCAUGUCGAACGAGUAUUUUUAACCGCCACUUUCUACCAGUGUUUCCAAAUCCUGUGUGAUUGCCAGAGUCUCCCUUCCCACUUUGAUUUCAGGUUUUAAUAAGUUUUUAGUAUUUUUGUUAAAAUAAUGACAAAAACAAAUUGUAAGAUUUUAUACUUUAUUUAUACCGGAUGAAACCCUGUAUCGCAGAUGUCCUGAAACAAAUACAGAGCAUACUUUCCAGAAGGGACCGC
rnacentral:lncRNA from 1 species